UUGGGGAUUAGCCAAGUCGGUAAGNCAGGACUUAAAAUCCUGCGGGACUUACCUCUCGUACCGGUUCGAUUCCGGUCUUCGGC
rnacentral:tRNA from 1 species